rnacentral:rRNA from 1 species
UAAGGCCGAUGGCGACCGGCGCACGGGUGAGUAACACGUAUCCAACCUGCCGUCUACUCUUGGACAGCCUUCUGAAAAGAAUGCUAAUACCGCAUAACAUCGUAGUAUCGCAUGGUACAGUGAUCAAAGGAGCAAUCCGCUGAAAGAUGGGCUCGCGUCCGAUUAGAUAGUUGGUGAGGUAACGGCUCACCAAGUCGACGAUCGGUAGCCGGACUGAGAGGUUGAACGGCCACAUUGGGACUGAGACACGGCCCAGACUCC